rnacentral:rRNA from 1 species
AUGCUCCGGUCCACGCAUCCCCUCAGCCCCAGCAGCGGCGGCAGCGGAGGUAGCAGCCCGGCCCCGGCGUCCAGCUCCGGCGAGGCGAUGGUGGGGGGCGCGCCGAGCGGGGCGAAGCUGCUGCAGAUCCUGAACGUGCGGGUGGUGGGCACCGGCGAGCGCGUGGUGGUGCUGUCGCACGGCUUCGGCACGGACCAGUCGGCGUGGAGCCGCGUGCUGCCGUACCUCAUCCGCGAGCACCGCGUGGUGCUCUACGACCUCGUCUGCGCCGGCAGCGUCAACCCGGACCACUUCGACUUCCGCCGCUACAACAACCUGGACGCUUACGUGGACGACCUGCUCGCCAUCCUCGACGCGCUCCGCAUCCCGCGCUGCGCCUUCGUCGGCCACUCCGUCUCCGCCAUGAUCGGCAUCCUCGCCUCCAUCCGCCGCCCCGACCUCUUCGCCAAGCUCGUCCUCAUCGGCGCCUCGCCUAGGUUCUUGAACGACAGCGACUACCACGGCGGGUUCGAGCUGGAGGAGAUCCAGCAGGUGUUCCAGGCGAUGUCGGCCAACUACGAGGCGUGGGCCAAGGGGUACGCGCCGCUGGCGGUGGGCGCGGACGUGCCGGCGGCGGUGCAGGAGUUCAGCCGGACGCUGUUCAACAUGCGGCCGGACAUCUCGCUGCACGUCUGCCAGAGCGUGUUCAAGACGGACCUCCGCGGCGUGCUGGGCAUGGUGCAGGCGCCGUGCGUGGUGGUGCAGACCACCCGCGACGUCUCCGUGCCGGCCAACGUCGCCGCCUACCUCAGGGCCCACCUCGGCGGGCGCACCACCAUCGAGCCCCUGCCGACGGAGGGCCACCUCCCCCACCUCAGCGCCCCCAGCCUCCUCGCCCAGGUGCUCCGCCGCGCGCUCGCCCGGUUCUAG